UACGUAGGGUGCGAGCGUUAAUCGGAAUUACUGGGCGUAAAGCGCAUGUAGGCGGUUUUUUAAGUCAGGGGUGAAAUCCCGGAGCUCAACUCCGGAACUGCCCUUGAAACUGGGAAGCUAGAAUCUUGGAGAGGCGAGUGGAAUUCCGAGUGUAGAGGUGAAAUUCGUAGAUAUUCGGAGGAACACCAGUGGCGAAGGCGGCUCACUGGUCCAUUACUGACGCUGAGGUGCGAAAGCGUGGGGAGCAAACAGG
rnacentral:rRNA from 1 species